AUAUUUCCUUUCACGCAUUUCCCUCCGAAUCGAAAGAUCGAAGCCGCAGAGCCAGGUGGAUCGCUACCCUCCGCAUCGGCAAGGCUGUGACGCUGACAAUGACUGUUAGCUCACGGCAUUUUGCACGGAAUGAUUUCUCCUUACCAGAUGUUGCAUGUCAAAGACGGCGGAUGAAAAAAAUGCAAUACCAACUGAAAACCUGCCAAGGACGUCAUAUUAUGAUGAGAACAAAGAUGCUCGUAUGAAAGAGCUUUCACUGGUAAGACUUCGCCGACGUGCGUAUCGGUCAGCCAGACAUGAAUCAAGCAAACAGACUCCUGCCUCUCCAUUAGAAGCAGAGGCAUAUCCCCGUGCACCUGUCAGCACGACCACCAUGGUAAAUUGGCUGCCUGCAACUUGUGCACACAUUGCUUAACCACUAGUUCCUUGGUACUAAACUCUCUGACAUUGCAGGAUGAUCUCCCAUUCCCUGACAGCAGCAGCAUUGACCAAAUAAGUGACAAAGAAAAUAUGGACGAUCUCCCAUUCCCUAACAGCAUGGACCAAAGCCUUGUAAACACCAUAAGUGACAAGGACAUAGCAGAUAUGGUAAUUUAUUUUUCUAUAUAUAUGCGAUGUGGUAGCUGUCUUUACCUAGCCGGCAGCAUGCUUUCUGGAUUUCCUUGGUGAAAGCAUUAUGGUUUGUGAUGGGUGAACAGUAACUGAUGCAAAACCCCUGGAUUUGCUACUUCCAACAUUGAAUUUAACACAUUGGCGUGCACUAUUGGAAAAAAGUACUUUGACAAAAAAGAAGCUACAUCUCGCAUCAGCUAUGUCAGACAUUAUAACUCUUGCUUUUGUUUUGUGACAGGAAUGUGCUUGCCAACCUGGCCCCCGGACAUUAACGGCAGA
rnacentral:lncRNA from 1 species